UGCAGAAAAGGUGGGGCGAGGGGAUGGGCAAAAUGGGUGAAGGUGAGUGGGAGGUGCAGGCUUCCAGUUAAGGAAUAAAUAAGUCACGGAGAUGAAAGUUGCAGCAGAGGGAAUAUAGUCGACGAUAUCAUAAUAACGCUGUAUGGUGACAGAUGGCGGCUACACUUAUGGUGAGCACAGCAUGACAUCUAAACUUGUUGUAUCACUAUGCUGUAUACCUGCAACUAAUACAAUGUUGUGUGUCAACUACACUUAAAUUUUUAAAAAAAUGUUUUAAUCAAUCUAAACGAAAGCAGAAAAAGAAGAACAAAGAGCAUAUGAGACAAAUAGCAAAUAGUAAGAUAGUAAAUGUAAAUCAGAGUACAUUAACAAUCACAUUGAGUGUAAAUAAUCUAA